UCGGAUCCGGAACCCAAAGUUU
rnacentral:snRNA from 1 species